AUGCUUGGAUAGUUCAGUGGUAGAACACUUACCGUAGGUAAAGUAGCAUGGGUUCGAUUCCCAUUCCUCG
rnacentral:tRNA from 1 species